rnacentral:rRNA from 1 species
GAGUUUGAUCAUGGCUCAGGACGAACGCUGGCGGCGUGCCUAAUACAUGCAAGUCGAGCGAGGGUUUUUAAGACCCUAGCGGCGGACGGGUGAGUAACACGUAGGCAACCUGCCUCUCAGACCGGGAUAACAUAGGGAAACUUAUGCUAAUACCGGAUAGGUUUUGGAUUGCAUGAUCCGAAAAGAAAAGAUGGCUUUUUGCUAUCACUGGGAGAUGGGCCUGCGGCGCAUUAGCUAGUUGUGGGUAACGGCUACCAAGGCGACGAUGCGUAGCCGACCUGAGAGGGUAACCGCCACACCGGGACUGAGACACGGCCCAGACUCCUACGGGAGGCAGCAGUAGGGAAUUUUCCACAAUGGACGAAAGUCUGAUGGA